rnacentral:rRNA from 1 species
AUUGAACGCUGGCGGCAUGCCUUACACAUGCAAGUCGAACGGUAACAGGUUAAGCUGACGAGUGGCGAACGGGUGAGUAAUAUAUCGGAACGUGCCCAGUCGUGGGGGAUAACGUAGCGAAAGCUACGCUAAUACCGCAUACGAUCUACGGAUGAAAGCGGGGGAUCGCAAGACCUCGCGCGAUUGGAGCGGCCGAUAUCAGAUUAGGUUGUUGGUGAGGUAAAAGCUCACCAAGCCUGCGAUCUGUAGCUGGUCUGAGAGGACGACCAGCCACACUGGAACUGAGACACGGUCCAGACUCCUACGGGAGGCAGCAGUGGGGAAUUUUGGACAAUGGACGCAAGUCUGAUCCAGCAAUGCCGCGUGCAGGACGAAGGCCUUCGGGUUGUAAACUGCUUUUGUACGGAACGAAACGGUGAGCUCUAAUACAGUUUGCUAAUGACGGUACCGUAAGAAUAAGCACCGGCUAACUACGUGCCAGCCGCCGCGGUAA